rnacentral:tmRNA from 1 species
GGGGGCGAUUUGGAUUCGACGACGGAUACAAACCCUGAGGUGCAUGCCGUGAUGACAGCCAAUCACGUUAAUCCAAAGCUGUAACCUUAUAGUUGCCAACGACGACAACUACGGUGCUCAGCUGGCUGCGUAAGCAGUCAAAAGACACCAUCUAGUAGCUUCGGCUCUAGCGGUCAUUAGCAAGGUGCCAGUACCGCGCUUACUGACUGUCAUACAGAACUGGACCGCAGUGAAGUAUGUUCUGGGCUUUACUGUCAAAUUAAACAGAACUCGCCAAUCACGUCCUGCCCGUUGGGCUGUGUGCGGCUAAAGCAAUAAACGGAAUCUAAGCAUGUAGAGCCGAAGGCAGAGGUCUGGCGGACGCGGGUUCGAAACCCGCCGCCUCCACCA